GGCUCUAUGGUCAGUUCU
rnacentral:miRNA from 1 species